rnacentral:rRNA from 1 species
CGAGCGGCAGCGCGGGGGCAACCCUGGCGGCGAGCGGCGAACGGGUGAGUAACACAUCGGAACGUACCCAGUUGUGGGGGAUAGCCCGGCGAAAGCCGGAUUAAUACCGCAUACGACCUGAGGGCGAAAGGGGGGGAUCGCAAGACCCCUCGCAGUUGGAGCGGCCGAUGGCGGAUUAGCUAGUUGGUGAGGUAAAGGCUCACCAAGGCGACGAUCCGUAGCUGGUCUGAGAGGACGACCAGCCACACUGGAACUGAGACACGGUCCAGACUCCUACGGGAGGCAGCAGUGGGGAAUUUUGGACAAUGGGGGCAACCCUGAUCCAGCCAUUCCGCGUGAGUGAAGAAGGCCUUCGGGUUGUAAAGCUCUUUCGGCAGGAACGAAACGGUGGAGGUUAAUACCUUUCAUCAAUGACGGUACCUGAAGAAGAAGCACCGGCUAACUACGUGCCAGCAGCCGCGGUAAUACGUAGGGUGCGAGCGUUAAUCGGAAUUACUGGGCGUAAAGCGUGCGCAGGCGGUUCUAUAAGACAGAUGUGAAAUCCCCGGGCUUAACCUGGGAACUGCGUUUGUGACUGUAGGACUCGAGUGUGGCAGAGGGGGGUGGAAUUCCACGUGUAGCAGUGAAAUGCGUAGAGAUGUGGAGGAACACCGAUGGCGAAGGCAGCCCCCUGGGUUAACACUGACGCUCAUGCACGAAAGCGUGGGGAGCAAACAGGAUUAGAUACCCUGGUAG